GACGAACGCUGGCGGCGUGCUUAACGCAUGCAAGUCGAACGGAAAGGCCCUGCUUUUGUGGGGUGCUCGAGUGGCGAACGGGUGAGUAACACGUGAGUAACCUGCCCUUGACUUUGGGAUAACUUCAGGAAACUGGGGCUAAUACCGGAUAGGAGCUCCUGCUGCAUGGUGGGGGUUGGAAAGUUUCGGCGGUUGGGGAUGGACUCGCGGCUUAUCAGCUUGUUGGUGGGGUAGUGGCUUACCAAGGCUUUGACGGGUAGCCGGCCUGAGAGGGUGACCGGCCACAUUGGGACUGAGAUACGGCCCAGACGCCUACGGGAGGCAGCAGUGGGGAAUAUUGCACAAUGGGCGGAAGCCUGAUGCAGCAACGCCGCGUGCGGGAUGACGGCCUUCGGGUUGUAAACCGCUUUCGCCUGUGACGAAGCGUGAGUGACGGUAAUGGGUAAAGAAGCACCGGCUAACUACGUG
rnacentral:rRNA from 1 species